GGCGAACGGGUGAGUAACACGUGAGCAACCUGCCCUUGACUCUGGAAUAACAGCUGGAAACAGCUGCUAAUACCGGAUACGACCUUUUGCGACAUCGCAGGAGGUGGAAAGCUCCGACGGUCAAGGAUGGGCUCGCGGCCUAUCAGCUAGUUGGUGAGGUAACGGCUCACCAAGGCUUCGACGGGUAGCCGGCCUGAGAGGGCGACCGGCCACACUGGGACUGAGAUACGGCCCAGACUCCUACGGGAGGCAGCAGUGGGGAAUAUUGCACAAUGGGCGCAAGCCUGAUGCAGCAACGCCGCGUGCGGGAUGACGGCCUUCGGGUUGUAAACCGCUUUCAGUUCCGACGAAGCGCAAGUGACGGUAGGAACAGAAGAAGGACCGGCCAACUACGUGCCAGCAGCCGCGGUGAUACGUAGGGUCCGAGCGUUGUCCGGAAUUAUUGGGCGUAAAGGGCUUGUAGGCGGUUCGUCACGUCGGAAGUGAAAACUCAGGGCUUAACCCUGAGCCUGCUUCCGAUACGGGCAAACUAGAGGAAUGCAGGGGAGAACGGAAUUCCUGGUGGAGCGGUGGAAUGCGCAGAUAUCAGGAGGAACACCGGUGGCGAAGGCGGUUCUCUGGGCAUUUCCUGACGCUGAGAAGCGAAAGCGUGGGGAGCAAACAGGCUUAGAUACCCUGGUAGUCC
rnacentral:rRNA from 1 species